GUAGCUCAGAUGGUAGAGCUCUUGCUUAGCGUGCGAGAGGUUCGGGGAUCGAUACCCCGCCCUCCA